GGGUUGUGAGGUUAAGCGACUAAGCGUACACGGUGGAUGCCCUGGCAGUCAGAGGCGAUGAAGGACGUGCUAAUCUGCGAUAAGCGCCGGUAAGGUGAUAUGAACCGUUAUAACCGGCGAUUUCCGAAUGGGGAAACCCAGUGUGACUCGUCACACUAUCAUUAACUGAAUCCAUAGGUUAAUGAGGCGAACCGGGGGAACUGAAACAUCUAAGUACCCCGAGGAAAAGAAAUCAACCGAGAUUCCCCCAGUAGCGGCGAGCGAACGGGGAGGAGCCCAGAGCCUGAAUCAGCAUGUGUGUUAGUGGAAGCGUCUGGAAAGGCGCGCGAUACAGGGUGACAGCCCCGUACACAAAAGCGCAUGUGUUGUGAGCUCGAUGAGUAGGGCGGGACACGUGGUAUCCUGUCUGAAUAUGGGGGGACCAUCCUCCAAGGCUAAAUACUCCUGACUGACCGAUAGUGAACCAGUACCGUGAGGGAAAGGCGAAAAGAACCCCGGCGAGGGGAGUGAAAAAGAACCUGAAACCGUGUACGUACAAGCAGUGGGAGCCCCACCACUAAGCCAGUGGUGAACUCCACAUACGCAUCCUUUGCUGAAGGUGCGGUUAACGGAGCGCAAGCGACGUUCAACCUCAAAAGAAGCAGAGGGGGCUUAGUGGUGG
rnacentral:rRNA from 2 species